CCUACGGGGGGCAGCAGUGGGGAAUAUUGGACAAUGGGCGAAAGCCUGAUCCAGCAAUGCCGCGUGUGUGAAGAAGGCCUGCGGGUUGUAAAGCACUUUUGUUGGGAAAGAAAAGUCGUCGGAUAAUACCCGGCGGUCUUGACGGUACCCAAAGAAUAAGCACCGGCUAACUCCGUGCCAGCAGCCGCGGUAAUACGGAGGGUGCGAGCGUUAAUCGGAAUUACUGGGCGUAAAGCGCGCGUAGGCGGUUUGACAAGUCGGAUGUGAAAGCCCCGGGCUUAACCUGGGAAUUGCAUUCGAAACUGUCAGGCUCGAGUCUGGGAGAGGGAAGCGGAAUUCCGGGUGUAGCGGUGAAAUGCGUAGAUAUCCGGAGGAACAUCAGUGGCGAAGGCGGCUUCCUGGCCCAAGACUGACGCUGAGGUGCGAAAGCGUGGGGAGCA
rnacentral:rRNA from 1 species